UGCCAGCAGCCGCGGUAAUACGGAGGGGGCUAGCGUUGUUCGGAAUUACUGGGCGUAAAGGGUAAGUAGGUGGUUGAUUAUGUUGUAUAUUAAAGUCCAAGGCUUAACUUUGGGAAAGUGUACAAAACGAUUCAACUAGAAUAAGAGUUAGGACAGUGGAAUUUCUAAUGGAGGGUUAAGUUCUGUAGAUAUUAGAAGGAACAUCGAAGGCGAAGGCAACUGUCUGUCUCUUUAUUGACGCUGAAUUACGAAGGCAUAGGUAGCGAAUAGGAUUAGAUA
rnacentral:rRNA from 1 species